CGAACGGGUGAGGAACGCGUGGACAACCUACCCCGGCGUGGGGGGAUACCCGCCAGAAAUGGCGGCUAAUACCGCGUACGGUCGUCUGACGGAGGGUUGGACGAAGAAAGCAGUGAUGCGCGCUGGGAGGGGUCUGCGGCCGAUUAGCUGGUUGGCGGGGUAGUGGCCCACCAAGGCGAUGAUCGGUAGCUGGUCUGAGAGGAUGAUCAGCCACACGGGGACUGAGACACGGCCCCG
rnacentral:rRNA from 1 species